UCCGAAAGAGAUUUUCUCCGAAAGUGCGAAUUGAAAUAUUCUCCGAGAGAAUUUCUGGUAAAUGGUAUCAUACAUUCCAUAUAUGCUCAGAAAGAUGUCGGAUUGCCGCUCUUUUCACAUAUGGUUUGAAGAGUUUUGCAUUCAACAUUUUGGUGGGUAUUUUCAAAAUUUUGUAAGCUGAAUGUGUGGGGCCCGCAAUACACUGUAGCAACGCCUGUUUUUGAAGAGUUUUUUUUCAGAUUGCCGCUCUUUUGAACAGAUGGUUUGAAGAGUUUUGCAUUCAACAUUUUGGUGGUUAUUUUCAAAAUUUUGUAAGAUGAAUGUGUGGGGCCCGCAAGCUACUGUAGCAACGCCUGUUUUUGAAGAGGUAUGUAGCAAGUUUGAUUACUUUUUCCACUUGGUUUUUCCACAUAUUGCCUCUCUUUUGUUUU